rnacentral:lncRNA from 1 species
AAUGCACCUAUUGCAAACAGCAUAACCAAAUAGAAGAUGUGGAAGUAAAAGCUAGAGGAAGGAUUUAGUUGGACCAUCGAACAAGUGUGUCAUGAAACUGCUAAGCUGACAAAGAAUUUGCUGCAUAACACUUGAAAGAUGGGUGUUGGAAUAAGGCAUUGAAACUUGUCUGCAACCAAGGCACUGUGAAAGCUGACAUAGGAC